rnacentral:snRNA from 1 species
GUACUUUCCUGGCAGGGGAGAUAGCAUACCAUGGUCAUGUGACUGCUUUCCCAAGGGGAGGCUCGUCCAUUGUAGUCCCCAUGUGCUGAUCAUAGGAUUUCCCCAAAUAUGGAGACCGCAACUGUUUAAUUUAUGGUGUGGGGCUAAUGGGGAGGAUACAGACUAUAUUCAAGCUCUCCCUUA